ACGCACGCUGGCGGCGUGCCUAAUACAUGCAAGUUGAGCGAUGAAGAUUGGUGCUUGCACCAAUUUGAAGAGCAGCGAACGGGUGAGUAACGCGUGGGGAAUCUGCCUUUGAGCGGGGGACAACAUUUGGAAACGAAUGCUAAUACCGCAUAACAACUUUAAACAUAAGUUUUAAGUUUGAAAGGUGCAAUUGCAUCACUCAAAGAUGAUCCCGCGUUGUAUUAGCUAGUUGGUGAGGUAAAGGCUCACCAAGGCGAUGAUACAUAGCCGACCUGAGAGGGUGAUCGGCCACAUUGGGACUGAGACACGGCCCAAACUCCUACGGGAGGCAGCAGUAGGGAAUCUUCGGCAAUGGACGAAAGUCUGACCGAGCAACGCCGCGUGAGUGAAGAAGGUUGUCGGAUCGUAAAACUCUGUUGGUAGAGAAGAACGUUGGUGAGAGUGGAAAGCUCAUCAAGUGACGGUAACUACCCAGAAAGGGACGGCUAACUACGUG
rnacentral:rRNA from 1 species